CCUACUUCAUAAGAACACAUGUGCUGGGGAAUUUAUCGGCUCAUGAAACUGAAUGUUGUACGUGUAGAUUUCAGGCACCACUGGAUGGAGCAAAGUCAGCAGGCACUCUGUCUCGCUUCACUCUGGAGCCUUCCUCUGGACUGAUUUCACUCUCCGAGAGGAAAGACACAACGUCUUAUCGCCUGUGUUUUAUCUGAUUUUGAUUGGGAAUUCAAGCUAUGUUUCUUAUUCUGUUGAAGACAUACUGAAACCAGACAAAGGAUCUUAAGGUGAUUUGCAAAAGCAAUGAUAGAGAAGGAAAUGGGAUCAAG